CUACGUGCCAGCAGCCGCGGUAAUACGGGGGGUGCGAGCGUUAAUCGGAAUAACUGGGCGUAAAGGGCACGCAGGCGGUGACUUAAGUGAGAUGUGAAAGCCCCGAGCUUAACUUGGGAAUUGCAUUUCAUACUGGGUCGCUAGAGUACUUUAGGGAGGGGUAGAAUUCCACGUGUAGCGGUGAAAUGCGUAGAGAUGUGGAGGAAUACCGAAGGCGAAGGCAGCCCCUUGGGAAUGUACUGACGCUCAUGUGCGAAAGCGUGGGGAGCAAACAGGAUUAGAUACCCUGGUAGUCCACGCUGUAAACGAUGUCGAUUUGGGGAUUGGGCUUUGAGCUUGGUGCCCGUAGCUAACGUGAUAAAUCGACCGCCUGGGGAGUACGGCCGCAAGGUUAAAACUCAAAUGAAUUGACGGGGGCCCGCACAAGCGGUGGAGCAUGUGGUUUAAUUCGAUGCAACGCGAAGAACCUUACCUACUCUUGACAUCCAUGGAAUUCUGUAGAGAUACGGGAGUGC
rnacentral:rRNA from 1 species